rfam:Brevibacillus choshinensis strain DSM 8552 scaffold3, whole genome shotgun sequence.
GUAAUUGGUACGUCUGCUAACAUCUCCAACGUCCUGUUGGAACGCAGACAUAACCACAUCCUGUGGU